rnacentral:rRNA from 1 species
CACCGGCGGCUCGAGUGGUGGCCACUUUUAUUGGGUCUAAAGCGUCCGUAGCCGGCUUGGCAAGUCCCCUGGGAAAUCUGGCGGCUUAACCGUCAGGCGUCCAGAGGAUACUGCCAGGCUUGGGACCGGGAGAGGUGAGAGGUACCUCAGGGGUAGGGGUGAAAUCUUGUGAUCCCUGAGGGACCACCAGUGGCGAAGGCGUCUCACUAGAACGGGUCCGACGGUCAGGGACGAAAGCUAGGGGCACGAACCGG